rnacentral:rRNA from 1 species
UACGUAGGGGGCAAGCGUUGUCCGGAAUCAUUGGGCGUAAAGCGCGUGUAGGCGGUUCAGUAAGUCUGCUGUGAAAGUCCAGGGCUCAACCCUGGGAUGCCGGUGGAUACUGCUGGGCUAGAGUACGGAAGAGGCGAGUGGAAUUCCCGGUGUAGCGGUGAAAUGCGCAGAUAUCGGGAGGAACACCAAUUGCGAAGGCAGCUCGCUGGGACGUUACUGACGCUGAGACGCGAAAGCUAGGGGAGCGAACGGG